rnacentral:rRNA from 1 species
UACGAGUGCCUCAAGCGUUAUCCGGAAUUAUUGGGCGUAAAGGGUGUGUAGGUGGUUUUGUUAGUCUUCUGUUAAAUUUCUCGGCUUAACCGAGAACUUGCAGGGGAAACGGCAAGACUUAGAGUAUGCGAGGGGUCUGUGGAACUCAUGGUGUAGCAGUGAAAUGCGUUGAUAUCAUGGGGAACACCAAAAGCGAAGGCAGCAGACUGGAGCAUUACUGACACUGAAACACGAAAGCGUGGGUAGCGAAUGGG